GAUGAACGCUGGCGGCGUGCCUAAUACAUGCAAGUCGAGCGAACGGACGAGAAGCUUGCUUUUCUGAUGUUAGCGGCGGACGGGUGAGUAACACGUGGAUAACCUACCUAUAAGACUGGGAUAACUUCGGGAAACCGGAGCUAAUACCGGAUAAUAUUUUGAACCGCAUGGUUCAAAAGUGAAAGACGGUCUUGCUGUCACUUAUAGAUGGAUCCGCGCUGCAUUAGCUAGUUGGUAAGGUAACGGCUUACCAAGGCAACGAUGCAUAGCCGACCUGAGAGGGUGAUCGGCCACACUGGAACUGAGACACGGUCCAGACUCCUACGGGAGGCAGCAGUAGGGAAUCUUCCGCAAUGGGCGAAAGCCUGACGGAGCAACGCCGCGUGAGUGAUGAAGGUCUUCGGAUCGUAAAACUCUGUUAUUAGGGAAGAACAUAUGUGUAAGUAACUGUGCACAUCUCGACGGUACCUAAUCAGAAAGCCACGGCUAACUACGUG
rnacentral:rRNA from 1 species